UACGUAGGGUGCAAGCGUUGUCCGGAAUUAUUGGGCGUAAAGAGCUCGUAGGCGGUUUGUCGCGUCUGCUGUGAAAACCCGAGGCUCAACCUCGGGCCUGCAGUGGGUACGGGCAGACUAGAGUGUGGUAGGGGAGACUGGAAUUCCUGGUGUAGCGGUGGAAUGCGCAGAUAUCAGGAGGAACACCGAUGGCGAAGGCAGGUCACUGGGCCGCAACUGACGCUGGAGGAGCGGAAAAGCAUGGGGAGCGAACAGG
rnacentral:rRNA from 1 species